rnacentral:ribozyme from 1 species
ACAGCCCGCAAGGCCGACGUAUAGCACGCCGCUGGUGCAAGUCCAGCCGCCCGAAAGGGCGGGCGCUCAUGGGUCGCAA